AACCUAUCGAAAGGAGGUGAUCCAGUGUCUCAAUGUCUGAUCGCAAGGCCGCUGGAACUCACCGCCGCACUCGUCGCGGGGGCUCAGCGGCUGCGCUGACAUUGCGGGCUCAUCUUGGCAGCCCAACGAACAGGAAAGCUCCGGCGCAAGCCGGAGCUU
rnacentral:sRNA from 1 species